rnacentral:rRNA from 1 species
GUGGGGAAUAUUCCGCAAUGGACGAAAGUCUGACGGAGCAACGCCGCGUGAGUGAUGAAGGUUUUCGGACUGUAAAGCUCUGUUGUUUAGGACGAAAGUGCCUGUUGCGAACAGUUACAGGUAUUGACGGUACUAAACGAGGAAGCCACGGCUAACUACGUGCCAGCAGCCGCGGUAAUACGUAGGUGGCAAGCGUUGUCCGGAAUUAUUGGGCGUAAAGAGCAUGUAGGCGGAGAUUUAAGUCUGUUUUGAAAAUGCGGGGCUCAACCCCGUAUUGCGAUGGAAACUGAAUUUCUUGAGUGCAGGAGAGGAAAGGGGAAUUCCCAGUGUAGCGGUGAAAUGCGUAGAUAUUGGGAGGAACACCAGUGGCGAAGGCGCCUUUCUGGACUGUGUCUGACGCUGAGAUGCGAAAGCCAGGGUAGCGAACGUGAUUAGAAACCCCGGUAGUCC